AGAGUUUGAUCAUGGCUCAGAUUGAACGCUGGCGGCAGGCCUAACACAUGCAAGUCGAGCGGUAGAGAGAAGCUUGCUUCUCUUGAGAGCGGCGGACGGGUGAGUAAUGCCUAGGAAUCUGCCUGGUAGUGGGGGAUAACGUUCGGAAACGGACGCUAAUACCGCAUACGUCCUACGGGAGAAAGCAGGGGACCUUCGGGCCUUGCGCUAUCAGAUGAGCCUAGGUCGGAUUAGCUAGUUGGUGAGGUAAUGGCUCACCAAGGCGACGAUCCGUAACUGGUCUGAGAGGAUGAUCAGUCACACUGGAACUGAGACACGGUCCAGACUCCUACGGGAGGCAGCAGUGGGGAAUUUUGGACAAUGGGCGCAAGCCUGAUCCAGCCAUGCCGCGUGUGUGAAGAAGGUCUUCGGAUUGUAAAGCACUUUAAGUUGGGAGGAAGGGCAGUUACCUAAUACGUGAUUGUUUUGACGUUACCGACAGAAUAAGCACCGGCUAACUCUGUGCCAGCAGCCGCGGUAAUACAGAGGGUGCAAGCGUUAAUCGGAAUUACUGGGCGUAAAGCGCACGUAGGCGGUUUUUUAAGUCAGAUGUGAAAGCCCCGGGCUCAACCUGGGAAUUGCAUUUGAAACUGGAAAACUAGAGUGUGUGAGAGGGGGGUAGAAUUCCAAGUGUAGCGGUGAAAUGCGUAGAGAUUUGGAGGAAUACCAGUGGCGAAGGCGGCCCCCUGGCACAACACUGACGCUCAGGUGCGAAAGCGUGGGGAGCAAACAGGAUUAGAUACCCUGGUAGUCCACGCCGUAAACGAUGUCUACUAGCUGUUCGUGGUCUUGUACUGUGAGUAGCGCAGCUAACGCACUAAGUAGACCGCCUGGGGAGUACGGUCGCAAGAUUAAAACUCAAAUGAAUUGACGGGGGCCCGCACAAGCGGUGGAGCAUGUGGUUUAAUUCGACGCAACGCGAAGAACCUUACCUACUCUUGACAUCUACGGAAGACUGCAGAGAUGCGGUUGUGCCUUCGGGAACCGUAAGACAGGUGCUGCAUGGCUGUCGUCAGCUCGUGUCGUGAGAUGUUGGGUUAAGUCCC
rnacentral:rRNA from 1 species